GAGCAAGAUCCCGGAGAUGGAUUCUGAGACAUGAAUCCAGGCCCUACGGGGCGCAGCAGGCGCGCAAACUUUACAAUGCGAGCAAUCGUGAUAAGGAAACCCUGAGUGCCUGUCGAUGCAGGCUGUUCAUAUAUCUAAAUCAUAUGUGAAGAAAGGGCAGGGCAAGACCGGUGCCAGCCGCCGCGGUAAUACCGGCUGCUCGAGUGAUGGCCACUAUUACUGGGUUUAAAGCGUCCGUAGCUUGACUGUUAGGUCUCUUGGGAAAUCUUCGCGCUCAACGUGAAGGCGUCUAAGAGAUACCGGCAGUCUUGGAACUGGGAGAGGUAAACCGUACUUCGGGGGUAGGAGUGAAAUCUUGUAAUCCUCGAGGGACGACCUAUGGCGAAGGCAGUUUACCAG
rnacentral:rRNA from 1 species